UCUACACCGGUUCACGUACGAUCACCGAAGUUAAGCAACGUCGAGCUUGGUCAGUACUUAGGUUAUCACUUGGGAAUACGAGGUGCUGCAUU